GACGAACGCUGGCGGCGUGCCUAAUACAUGCAAGUCGAGCGGACUUAAAAAGCUUGCUUUUUAAGUUAGCGGCGGACGGGUGAGUAACACGUGGGCAACCUGCCUGUAAGACUGGGAUAACUUCGGGAAACCGGAGCUAAUACCGGAUAAUCCUUUUCUACUCAUGUAGAAAAGCUGAAAGACGGUUUACGCUGUCACUUACAGAUGGGCCCGCGGCGCAUUAGCUAGUUGGUGAGGUAACGGCUCACCAAGGCGACGAUGCGUAGCCGACCUGAGAGGGUGAUCGGCCACACUGGGACUGAGACACGGUCCAGACUCCUACGGGAGGCAGCAGUAGGGAAUCUUCCGCAAUGGACGAAAGUCUGACGGAGCAACGCCGCGUGAGUGAUGAAGGUUUUCGGAUCGUAAAACUCUGUUGUUAGGGAAGAACAAGUACGAGAGUAACUGCUCGUACCUUGACGGUACCUAACCAGAAAGCCACGGCUAACUACGUG
rnacentral:rRNA from 1 species